rnacentral:lncRNA from 13 species
AUGCUGGACCUCACUGAAAAGAGUCAUUGCAUUUUAGGAACGAUGUGUUCAUACAUUCCCACACUCCAAAUAAUUGGCUUCAGCUUACAGUGCAUUGUGUUUCUUGAUUGCAUCUUUUGUAUGCUGGUCUUUGUGAGACUUCACAGAGGAAACUGCUCUUUCUGUGAGAUGACUUUCUCAGGCAGUCAGACUUACCGUCCUGUGAAUGCCUGUAUCCACAUUUACCCUGAACUCGCCAGUGAGAGCAUCUGGCUUCAUUCCUCUCAGAAGCCCGAGACCAGUGUUUUCACCAGCAGCUCAGCCCCUGAGGUCCUGUAAGUUGGAGGCCACAUCCCUCCUUCAGCAACUGCUGUCAAGAAAUUUGCUGAAAGAGAGGACUUGGAACAACUGACUUCCUGGGGAUUGUUUUUACCUCAAGAGUGUGCAUUAAACCCAGUAUCUUCCAG